GCGUCGGUGGUAUAACGGUUAGCACUGCUGCCUUCCAAGUAGUUGACUCGGGUUCGACUCCCGGCCGACGCA
rnacentral:tRNA from 1 species